GGAGUAUGGGCCGUGUCUCAGUCCCAUUGUGGCUGAUCAUCCUCUCAAACCAGCUACUGAUCGUCGCCUUGGUGGUCCAUUACACCCCCAACUAGCUAAUCAGAUGCAGACUCAUCCCAGAGCACCGGAGUUUUCACGAAUAGCUUCUCAGCUACGCGCAUAUGCGGUAUUAGCAGUCGUUUCCAACUGUUGUCCCCCACUCUAGGGCAGAUUCUCUACACAUUACUCACCCGUCCGCCACUGUCUAUUACCCGAAGGUAACUUCUCGUUCGACUUGCAUGUAUGAAGCACGCCGCCAGCGUUCGUCCUGAGCCGAUGAUCAAACUCU
rnacentral:rRNA from 1 species